GGAUGUAGUUCAGCUUGGUAGAACGCUUGCUUCGGGAGUAAGAGGUCGCAGGUUCAAAUCCUGUCAUCC
rnacentral:tRNA from 1 species